rnacentral:rRNA from 1 species
AGUGAACGCUGGCGGUAGGCCUAACACAUGCAAGUCGAACGGCAGCACAGUAAGAGCUUGCUCUUACGGGUGGCGAGUGGCGGACGGGUGAGGAAUACAUCGGAAUCUACUUUUUCGUGGGGGAUAACGUAGGGAAACUUACGCUAAUACCGCAUACGACCUACGGGUGAAAGCAGGGGAUCUUCGGACCUUGCGCGAUUGAAUGAGCCGAUGUCGGAUUAGCUAGUUGGCGGGGUAAAGGCCCACCAAGGCGACGAUCCGUAGCUGGUCUGAGAGGAUGAUCAGCCACACUGGAACCGAGACACGGUCCAGACUCCGACGGGAGGGAGCAGUGGGGAAUAUUGGACAAUGGGCGCAAGCCUGAGCCAGCCAUACCGCGUGGGUGAAGAAGGCCUUCGGGUUGUAAAGCCCUUUUGUUGGGAAAGAAAAGCAGCAGGUUAAUACCCCGCUGUUCUGACGGUACCCAAAGAAUAAGCACCGGCUAACUUCGUGC